UCCAUCCAUAUCAGUAAACACGAAUGAACAAAGUACCCAUUCUCCAUUCAAAUCUGUCUUCUAUAUUUCUGGUGAACUUUCUUUCCAUGUGAUUGUUCCCCUCUAUAAAAGCAGCUUCUAUAGUUUCCCAAUCCAUCGGUCAAAGCUCAUUUCUUCUCUUGGGCACAGGCAUCAGCUUCAUUCUGUUCAUCGGAUUCAUGCCAAGUGGAAUGGAGCGUCUGAUUGGUCUGGUGGUGCUGUGCACAGUCCUGGCAUUGGUCCAUGGAAACUGUCAAAAGGGAGGUCUUGAUGUGGUCAUGAGCCCUGUAGGUGCCAGGCCAGUGUGUAUGGACUCAGUUGAUAAUAAGUUGUACAAGAUGGGCUCCAGAUGGCAAAACAGCCAAUGUAUGCAAUGUUCCUGCACACCUAGGGGUGUAAGCUGCUGUGAGAGCAUCAAUCCGUGUAGCUGAAGAACUGAUGGUCUUUAAGAGAGCAACUUUGGUUUCUUUGUUGGAGAAUAUCUAACCCCUAUGGAUCUCGGGAACAAGAAGGCAAUAAACUAUUAGCUGGAAGUCA
rnacentral:lncRNA from 1 species